AGAAUCAACGCUGGCGGCGUGCCUAACACAUGCAAGUCGAACGCGAAAGGGGAGCAAUCCCUGAGUAGAGUGGCAAACGGGUGAGUAACACGUGGGUGACCUGCCUUCGAGUGGGGGAUAACGUCCCGAAAGGGACGCUAAUACCGCAUGACAUCCUGUCUUUGGACAGACGGAGAUCAAAGCUGGGGAUUCGCAAGAACCUGGCGCUUGAAGAGGGGCCCGCGCCUGAUUAGCUAGUUGGUGAGGUAACGGCUCACCAAGGCUACGAUCAGUA
rnacentral:rRNA from 1 species